CUAAAAUCGUUUAUGUAAGAGAAGUAGGUAUACUAAAGUCGUUUCAGAGAGCUGGAAUUGGUGGGAUCCAGUACGAAUAGGUAUGCUGAAUGGACUUACAAGAGGUUUUCUGAACAUGUUUUUUAAGUAGGAAAACACGGAGUUCCGCCGUUACACGGAUAGGAUAUCGAUUCCCAUAACAUCUGGGCUUCCGUAUCUGAACAAGAUGAAAAGAGAAAGAUUCUCUUUUCAAGAGAGGUGGCACCGCGGUCACAAUCGUCCUCUAU
rnacentral:ncRNA from 1 species